rnacentral:rRNA from 1 species
UACCGUGGUCAUAUUGGCCUGUCAAAACCUGAACUCGUCAGAUGUCAGAAGCUAAGCAAGGCCAGGCCCACUUAGUACUUGAACGGGAGACCUCUGGGAAAAUCAGGUGCCACAGUGG